rfam:Geobacillus kaustophilus HTA426 DNA, complete genome.
AAAUGAAUAUCAUUUGUACCGUAGACAGUAGGUGCCUGUUUGAGGCUUAAUUUCCUACCGAGGUAUGUGGACGAUAGAACAGCGCGCCCUGCGUCGGGGACGAGCGGCGGUGCGUUGAACGACACCUCCAUGUCUACGCGGCAUGGAGGUUUUUUAUUGAGCAGA